UUUGAAUAUAUGAUAUUUUGUCUUUUAACUUUGCUGUGAAUGAGCAUUUAUUACUGAACGUUAAUUUUAUGAGUUUUUUAUUAAAAGUUUUUCAGUUUCGCUGAAAUUUCUAUGUUAGCGGAAGUUUUUAAGUCAACGUAUCUAAGUUAUUGUUAUGUGAGAUAUUGGAUUUAUAAUGGUGCGACAUGAGGGUGUGAGCGAACUUGAUUUGUGAACUAAUUUAAAAAGUUUUUUGUAGAAGAUCCUAACCAAAUAAGUUAUAUAAUGCAUUUGCAACUGCUUAAUAUGGGAGGAAGAAGUUUUUUUAGAAAAAGUAGGGGCUGGAACCAAAAAAUUGUAUAGUUCUUUUUUCUCUCUUUGGAUCUUUUCAUCCUCUUAUAAUAAUUUUGAGAACAUAAAAUUAUCAAAAAAAAUUCUAUCGAUUUAAUAACGAUUGUAAUUUUGGGUUUGCCAAAAUAAGCUGGUAGGAAAUGAAAAAAUUAACUAUAAUAAUACACUAAGUUUAUCUAUAUUUUCUGUUUCUAUAAAUUUUUAUAAUUUAAUAAUACUUUGGAGGAUAAUUGAGGCUAUUUGAUUUAGUGAGCAUAUAAUUCUUUUAAUGUUGGUUUUAAUGAGCAUUUAUAGAUGGAUGUUAAUUUUUUGACAUAUUCGCUAAGGUUGAAUUGAUCUUCAUAAUUACGUAAUAUGGUUUUGGUGAUGUUAGUACAUUUUAAUUAUUAUCUUUGGUUUA
rnacentral:lncRNA from 1 species